UUGACAUUUCACAUUUCUAAAAUUUCGGAGGUUCGGUUUCGUCGUGUAGAGGAUGUCUUUGUCGUUAUUUAUAUCGCAUUAAAAUUAUUCUUGUUAUCGUAGUGUAUUAUGAAUUACUGUUUUAAAAACAGUAGCGUGUUUAUUUAGUGGUUAAAGUUCAUCAGUGGAGAGUGCCUUUGUCGUGUAUACCAUUGAUGGAUGUCUUAGAUAAAUUCGUGCACAAAAAGAAAGAUGACAGUAUUUAUCUCUGAUCUUACUUUUGUUUCUGUAUAAAAUCGUAGUAAUCGUUCGCGAUGACGAGUGCGCCGCGGUCAUCUAAGGUGUCCCUGAAGCCUAUCGAAGUACCCAAGGCUCUGCAGGAUGGAGAAAAAUUCAUGAAGUGGGAUGAGGAUCCGGGGACGUUAUUGCCGGUUACUCUCCGGGUGGAUCCAAAUGGCUUCUAUCUGUACUGGACGGAUCAGAACAUGGAGGUGGAGAUGCUGGACAUCGCCACCAUCAGAGAUGUGAGAACUGGAGUCUACGCUAAAAUACCUAAGGACCCCAAGAUAAGGAACGUGGUUCUGUUCGGCUCGUCGGGGUCGCUGGAGGAGAAGACUGUGACGGUGUGCUACGGCGCCGACUUCGUCAACGUCACAUUUAUCAACUUCUGCUGCACGAGGAAGGAUAUAGCUCAGUUAUGGACGGACGAGCUGUUCGCGCUGGCAUACAACCUGAACCAGUACAACAACCCGACCAUCAAAUUCCUGGAGAAGUUGCACACAAAAAUCGCGCUAAAAGCGGACAAGUCCGGGAAAAUUCUAGUCAAAAAUAUCGUUCGAUGCUUCGCCCAAAACAAAGAGGACAAGAAGCGGGUAGAGAAGGCUCUAAGCGAGUCCGGGCUACCGACGGGCAAGAACGACACCAUCAGCCAGUCCAAGUUCCAGUUUGAGGACUUCUUCGCCUUCUACAAGAAUCUCACGCAGCGCGCUGAAGUCCAGAAGAUCUUUAAUGAGCUGACGGACGGCAAACCGCACCUAUCCGCGACCCAGCUGGUGGAUUUCCUGAACGAAAUCCAGAGGGACCCGAGACUCAACGAGAUAUUACACCCGUACGCGGACGUGCAGAGGGCGAAGGAUCUCAUCAAGGCGUACGAACACAAUAAGUACCAUCAGCAACGGUCUCAGCUUACUUUCGAUGGCUUCUUGAGGUUCCUCAUGUCGGAAGACAACCCCAUAGUGGCGCCGAACAAGCUGGACCUGUGCGACGACAUGGACCAGCCCUUAGCCCACUACUUCAUCAACAGCUCCCACAACACCUACCUCACAGGCCACCAAAUCACCGGCAAGUCCAGCGUCGAGAUAUACAGACAGGGGCUGCUGGCUGGAUGCAGAUGCGUGGAACUGGACUUCUGGAACGGUAGAACAGAAGAGCCGGUGAUAGUCCACGGCUACACCUUCGUACCUGAGAUCAGCGCCAAGGAAGUGCUAGAAGCGAUAGCGGAGAGCGCCUUCAAGACAUCGGACUACCCGGUCAUACUCAGCUUUGAGAACCACUGCAACCCGCGACAGCAGGCGAAGAUCGCGAACUACUGUAGAGAUAUCUUCGGCGAUAUGCUGCUCGAUAAACCGCUGGACUCGCAUCAGCUGGAGCCAGGAGGAGAGCUGCCGCCUCCCGCGCUGCUCAAGAACAAGAUAAUAAUAAAGAAUAAGAAGAAGCACCACCACCACCAUAAGAAGGAGGAGCCGCCGGCGGAGGAGUCGGAGCCCCAGCCCCAGGGUAACGGGGAUGUCGCCCCGGGAUCGUUGCCUCGUCAGGGGUCCAAGGAGUCUUCGGAAUCCUCGGAGUCGGACAGCUCGAGCGAGGAGGAGGGUGAGGCGGGCGCGGAGGGCGGGGUGACGGCGGAGGAGGCGCGCGAGACGCACGCCGCAGCGGAGAUCUCCGCGCUCGUCAACUACGUGCAGCCCGUGCACUUCAGCAGCUUCGAGAACGCUGAGAAGAAGAAUCGUUUCUACGAGAUGUCUUCAUUUGACGAGAAGCAGGCGACGACCCUGCUCAAGGAGCGGCCGAUAGAGUUCGUGAACUACAACAAAAAUCAGCUGUCGCGAGUUUACCCUGCAGGGACGAGGUUCGACUCCAGCAAUUUUAUGCCGCAGGUGUUCUGGAACGCUGGGUGUCAGCUGGUGGCCCUCAACUACCAGACGCUGGACCUGGCAAUGCAGCUCAACCUCGGCGCAUUCGAGUACAACAGGCGCUGCGGGUACAUACUCAAACCCGAGUUCAUGAGGAGAAAGGAUCGUCGGUUAGACCCGUUCGCGGAGAGUACGGUCGACGGCAUUAUCGCUGGGUCGCUGUCGGUGCGCGUGGUGUCCGGUCAGCUGCUGACGGAGCGGCGGACGGGCACGUACGUCGAGGUGGACAUGUUCGGCCUGCCCGCAGACACGGUCCGCAAGAAGUUCCGCACGCGCACCGUCCCCAACAACGGGAUUAAUCCCGUCUACGGCGACGAGCCGUUCGUCUUCAAGAAGGUUGUGUUACCGGAGCUGGCGAUGUUGCGGAUCGCGGCGCAUGAAGAGGGCGGGGGGCGGCUUCUCGGUCACCGGGUACUCCCGGUGCUAGGGCUCCGCCCCGGGUACAGACACGUGGGGCUGCGCACCGAGAUGGGCCUCCCGUUGGCCGCGAGCCUGCUGCUGCAUGUGCGCGUUAAGGACUACGUGCCGGACAAGUUGUCGGAGCUAGCCGAGGCGCUCGCCAACCCGAUAAAGUACCAGAGCGACAUACAGAAGCGCGCGCAGCAGUUGGCCGUGCUGACGGAGGACAGCGAGGAGCCGCGCGCGCCGGAGCCCGCGCUGCUCACGCCUGUACCGAGACCUGUACGACCUGACAGCACGGACGGAAGCCCGAACAAGCCUAACAUCACGCCGGACAAGAAGUCCAACAACAGCGACAACCAACAGUCAGAGCCUGAAAAACCAGUUUCAGAGGAGGAGUCUACGGACGGAGCGACAGAGCGGUGUAACGGCGACGGCGGCGCGACGAGCGAGAGCGCGGACGCAGUGGCGCUCGCCGAGCUGCUCGACUGCAAGCUCGUGCGUGACAAGCGGGCGGAGCUCGCACGCAAACUCGACGCGCUGCGCCGCAAACACGCACGCACCAAACCCACGCCCAAGUUUUUCGUGAAACGGCUGUCGUCGCGGAACGUGAGCGAGUCAUCGUUCUCAGAAGAUAGCGGUGCGGGUGCGGGCGCGGGCGCGGGUGCGGGCGCGACGCUGGCGGCGGAGGAGCGUGAGCUGCGGCUGCGGUACCACCACGCGAUAUUCGGCGCGCUCGACAAGCACAUGCGGAACACGCAGCAGCAGCAGAUGAAGGCGUUGCAGGAUUCGUUAGAAGUUGAAAAGAAGGAGAUUUUAAAUAGACUUGCAAACUCUCGAAAGGAGGACGUGAAGGCGCUGGCGAAGAAAACAAACAGGGAUAAAGACGAAAUACUUAGGAUAAAGAGAGAGAUACACUCGCAGUCAGUGGAGCGCGGCGUGCAGGAGUGCGGGCGGCUGGAGCAGGCGCACGCGCGGCGGCGGGAGGAGCUGGCGCGCGCGCACGACCGCCUGCGAGCCGCGCUCACGCGACAGCGGGACCAGGAGUUGUUGGAGCUGGAGCGGCUGUGCGGCGGCGCGCCCGAAGGCUAACCCUGUGCGAGCUCUCACGUAGGAAUCUGUGAUAUUAUCCUCUAAGGAGCCCCCCUCGGCUCCAAAGUCUGCAAUCUCAUAGUUUAAGUUCACUCCUAGCCCCGCGAGAGGACGGCGGUCUUCACGGCUUCGCUCGAGGUCCCCACUUUCUGUGGUUAUUCUGUGCGUGUAUUGAAGUUCCGAGUUUUAGUGGUUACACCUACCACCGUGUGCAAUAUUGUGAUUAUAUGUGUUUAUCACUUCAAGUGCUCUUACUGUGGCGUUUGCAUUUGCCUUAGGACAUGCGACACGUGUUAGUAGCACUUAAACGCACGCUGUGUGUUUGCAUAUGCCUUCACUGUUGUUGUAUAAAUUCAUAAUCACAAGGUGUUCUAUAUUUUUGUCUGAAAGUGUAAGUUAGACUUUCAUAAACACAAUACAAUAAGAUACAUAGUAUCGUACUUAUCUUUGUAAGAGUGUGCAAAUAGAACACCGUAUACACAGGUAUAUUGUAUUGUGACGCUUCUAUUGUUCGAAUGAAAUUUAUUUCUAUUAUUACUAAAAACUUGUAUCUCAAUCGUUUUGGGGAAACCCACAUCAAGUUUUAGUGGCUUCGCAAAUGAGUUACAAGAGCAAUACUUAUUACGUCCUCGUUACUUUGGUAUGGCCAUAGGGUACAGCUACUGAGUUAUGUUAUCAUUAUAGGUAUCUCUUAAAAUACUAAAAUUACUAUCUACUUAUCUAUUUUAAUACAACUACUCAAAAAACUUGUCACGAAGGAGUUUGGGCGCCUAAAUUUUUUUUUUCUGAAAGCGCUCUCCUAUUCGAGUAAAUCAAUCAAUAAUCGUAUGCAAAUAUUCAUGCCAUUAUUUUAAGCAUUAUUUAAUGUUAUUACAAAGUCUCUAGGUAGGAAAAAAAAAAUUUAAUUUUUAACGUUUUUGUUAGCGUAUUAAAUACCUGCCACUCACGUUUACUAAUUAUAUUGCAUUUAACGUAGUCUAGUUAGUUUUAUUUGGAAGAGCUUACGUGAAACCGUGCUAGUCACUGUUUUAACGAAUAUAUAUAAUGUUAAUUUUUACGGCCACGUUAUUACGAUUGUUUUGCGCACGAGUGUUAUUUGUACAAACGUACUUUAUUUUUAUACAUGGGUGUACCCAGGU